rnacentral:rRNA from 1 species
UGGGGGAAUAUUGCACAAUGGGGGGAAACCCUGAUGCAGCAACGCCGCGUGAGUGAUGAAGGUCUUCGGAUCGUAAAGCUCUGUCUUCAGGGACGAUAAUGACGGUACCUGAGGAGGAAGCCACGGCUAACUACGUGCCAGCAGCCGCGGUAAUACGUAGGGGGCGAGCGUUGUCCGGAAUUACUGGGCGUAAAGGGUGCGUAGGCGGUUUGGUAAGUUGGAUGUGAAAUACCCGGGCUUAACUUGGGGGCUGUAUCCAAUACUGUCGGACUUGAGUGCAGGAGAGGAAAGCGGAAUUCCUAGUGUAGUGGUGAAAUGCGUAGAUAUUAGGAGGAACACCGGUGGCGAAGGCGGCUUUCUGGACUGUAACUGACGCUGAGGCACGAAAGCGUGGGGAGCAAACAGGAUUAGAUACCCUGGUAGU